rnacentral:rRNA from 1 species
CCUACGGGGGGCAGCAGUGGGGAAUAUUGGACAAUGGGGGCAACCCUGAUCCAGCCAUGCCGCGUGUGUGAAGAAGGCCCUCGGGUUGUAAGGCACUUUCAGUGAGGAAGAACGCCUGGUGGUUAAUACCCAUCAGGAAAGACAUCACUCACAGAAGAAGCACCGGCUAACUCCGUGCCAGCAGCCGCGGUAAUACGGAGGGUGCGAGCGUUAAUCGGAAUUACUGGGCGUAAAGCGCGCGUAGGUGGCUUGAUAAGCCGGUUGUGAAAGCCCCGGGCUCAACCUGGGAACGGCAUCCGGAACUGUCAAGCUAGAGUGCAGGAGAGGAAGGUAGACUUCCCGGUGUAGCGGUGAAAUGCGUAGAGAUCGGGAGGAAUACCAGUGGCGAAGGCGGCCUUCUGGACUGACACUGACACUGAGGUGCGAAAGCGUGGGUAGCAAACAGGAUUAGAUACCCUAGUAGUC